rnacentral:rRNA from 1 species
AGCAGCCGCGGUAAUUCCAGCUCCAAUAGCGUAUAUUAAAGUUGUUGCAGUUAAAAAGCUCGUAGUUGAAUUUCGGGGUCAGUAGGCUGGUCGUGCCACAGGUACGCACUGGUCUCACUGAUUCCUCCUUCCUGAUGAACCGUAAUGCCAUUAAUUUGGUGUUGCGGGGAGACUGGACUGUUACUUUGAAAAAAUUAGAGUGUUUAAAGCAGGCUAACGCUUGAAUACAUUAGCAUGGAAUAAUGAAAUAGGACGUUCGGUCUUAUUUUGUUGGUUUCUAAGAUUGACGUAAUGAUUAAUAGGGAUAGUUGGGGGCAUUAGUAUUCAAUUGUCAGAGGUGAAAUUCUUGGAUUUAUUGAAGACUAACUACUGCGAAAGCAUUUGCCAAGGAUGUUUUCAUUAAUCAAGAACGAAAGUUAGGGGAUCGAAGACGAUCAGAUACCGUCGUAGUCUUAACCAUAAACUAUGCCGACUAGGGAUCGGAUGAUGUUAAUUUUUAAUGACUCAUUCGGCGCCUUAA